rnacentral:rRNA from 1 species
UACAGAGGUCCCAAGCGUUGUUCGGAUUCACUGGGCGUAAAGGGUGCGUAGGUGGCUUGGUAAGUUUGAUGUGAAAUCUCCGGGCUUAACCCGGAAAUGGCAUUGAAUACUAUUGAGCUGGAGGUUUGGAGGGGGGACUGGAAUUCUCGGUGUAGCAGUGAAAUGCGUAGAUAUCGAGAGGAACACCAGUGGCGAAGGCGGCCACCUGGACCGUCCCUGACGCUCAAACACGAAAGCUAGGGUAGCGAACGGG